UCUCCGUUGGUGAGCCAGCGGAGGGAUCAUUACCGAGUUUACAACUCCCAAACCCCUGUGAACUUAUACCUUUACUGUUUCUUCGCCGGGUCAUUGCCCCGGGGGAACAGUCGGCCGUAGCAUCCCUGCACACCCGGAAACAAGCGCCCGCCGGGGGACGCGAACUCUUCUUUUUUUUUUUUUUUGCUGUAUACUGUCUUAUUAACAAUUCAUAAUGACUCAAAACUUUCAACAACGUAUCUCUUGGUUUUCGCAUCGGUGAAGAACGGAGCAGAGCGG
rnacentral:misc_RNA from 1 species